rnacentral:rRNA from 1 species
CCUACGGGUGGCAGCAGUGGGGAAUAUUGGACAAUGGGGGGAACCCUGAUCCAGCCAUGCCGCGUGUGUGAAGAAGGCCCUCGGGUUGUAAAGCACUUUCAGUGAGGAAGAACGCCUGGUGGUUAAUACCCAUCAGGAAAGACAUCACUCACAGAAGAAGCACCGGCUAACUCCGUGCCAGCAGCCGCGGUAAUACGGAGGGUGCGAGCGUUAAUCGGAAUUACUGGGCGUAAAGCGCGCGUAGGUGGCUUGAUAAGCCGGUUGUGAAAGCCCCGGGCUCAACCUGGGAACGGCAUCCGGAACUGUCAAGCUAGAGUGCAGGAGAGGAAGGUAGAAUUCCCGGUGUAGCGGUGAAAUGCGUAGAGAUCGGGAGGAAUACCAGUGGCGAAGGCGGCCUUCUGGACUGACACUGACACUGAGGUGCGAAAGCGUGGGUAGCUAACAGGAUUAGAUACCCGGGUAGUC